rnacentral:siRNA from 1 species
CUCGUUGCACAUUGUUUAGUACGU